UGGCGUGCCGGCGCUCUGGUCAGUCGAGAUCUGGGAGCGACGCGUUGAGGACCGGAUGGUCAGAGGCGAGACGCGUUCGGCCUCGUGUGACACACACUGUUGUGCGCGUGAAAUACGGAAGUAUUGUGCUCCUGUCCACCAUCAAAUUGGAUAUCUCGUCGUCAUCAACCAAGCCCGCAAGGGCUUCGGUCUCCCGGCGAAACGCCACCAUGAUGGGCUAGGCCCUCACUGAUCUCGCCUCCCGAAGCGGCCGCCAACAUGCCUAACGCCCUAACGCCCCACUUUGUUUUGGACGCCGAGGACGCCGAUGGGCCCCACACCACCAGACCGCCCCUCCCGGGCCACCUCGCCCGUCGCCGCCCAGCGCAGCGCUCCCCCUCAGCGCCCCCCUUCCCCUCCCACUCCCGAUCAGCUGUGAAGUGUGGAGCAACUUUGUUUAUGUCACUAGUUCGGUGACUUCUUGCCAUGACAGUGAAAUGUGUUACGGUUUCAUUUCUAUUAUGUGUUGGUGAAUACCACUCCAAUGUGUAAUAUGUAAAUUAUCAAUUGUGAGAUGUGAAAGUGUGAGUGUCUGUGUGUGGGUGGUGGCGCCGCCCCCAUGCAUUUGUGUUAUGCAUCAUAAAACUGCGCAGUGUCUACUCUGGUGAGUUUACUCAUUUCUAUAAUUCUGGGUCCAGUUAAAGAGUUUUGACCUUGGUUAUAAGGCUCUAUUUAGUGAAUGGUUUAUCAUUCAAAAAUGACUUAUUUUGGCAGUGUUUACUGCUUAUGUCGUUUGAGUAACAUUAUGUACAUGUUACCUAUAGUGUAUUUACAGUGUAUUGUUUGUCCUUGUGUAUAAUUGUAUAAGUAGAUAGUUAAUAUUUUGAUGAGAGGGACGCCUCCUUAGCAUUGUUUUGACAGUGUUAAACCUAAAGGUGUUUAUUAAAUCUACUUUCACCUA